rnacentral:rRNA from 1 species
AUACGGAGGAUCCGAGCGUUAUCCGGAUUUAUUGGGUUUAAAGGGUGCGCAGGCGGGAGAUUAAGUCGGCGGUGAAAUUUUGCAGCUCAACUGUAAAAGUGCCUUCGAAACUGGUUUCCUUGAGUGUAGAUGAAGUAGGCGGAAAUUGUGGUGUAGCGGUGAAAUGCUUAGAUAUCACGAGGAACUCCGAUUGCGCAGGCAUCUUACUAAACUACUACUGACGCUCAGGCACGAAGGCGUGGGGAUCAAACAGGAUUAGAUACCCUGGUAGUCCACGCAGUAAACGAUGAUUACUAGCUGUUUGCGAUACAAUGUAAGCGGCUGAGCGAAAGCGUUAAGUAAUCCACCUGGGGAGUACGUUCGCAAGAAUGAAACUCAAAUGAAUUGACGGGG